GGAAGACCUAAAAAUAGUGGCAAAAAGCCAACCGAGCUUGGUGAUAGCUGGUUACUCAAUAAAUGAACCUUAGUUCAACUUUAGGUGCCCAUGGGCCAACUACUUUAACCCACCACCCAUUUGACCUAAAGAAAUUCAAUGGGGGUACAGCCCCAUUGAACCGGAAUACAACCCGAAUUGAGAGACACUUACUAAACUUUAACCCUAACAGUAGGCCCCAAAGCAGCCACCAACUAAACGCGUUACAGCUACAACAAAACAAUUUUCACAAUAAUAUACACCUCCUAAUAUACCACGAGUUAUUCUAUUCUCUAAUAGAAACACCAAUGCUAAAAUUAGUAAUAAGAAACCCUAAUUUCUCUCCGCACCCCCUUAAAUCAGAAUAGAAAAACUACUGAUAAUUAACACAACACGACCUGCAACAACUAGCUAACAUGUCAACUAAAAUCUGUUACCCCAACACAGGAGUGCAAAAAAGAAAGGCAAAAAGCCAUAAAAGGAACUCGGCAAACCCUACCGUCCCAACUGUUUACCAAAAACAUAGCCUUUAGCUCAACAAGUAUUAAAGGUCCCGCCUGCCCAGUGACUCUUUAAACGGCCGCGGUAUCCUAACCGUGCAAAGGUA
rnacentral:rRNA from 1 species